rnacentral:rRNA from 1 species
AUUGAACGCUGGCGGCAUGCCUUACACAUGCAAGUCGAACGGUAACGGGCCUUCGGGUGCCGACGAGUGGCGAACGGGUGAGUAAUGCAUCGGAACGUACCUUUCAGUGGGGGAUAACGUAGCGAAAGUUACGCUAAUACCGCAUAUUCUGUGAGCAGGAAAGCAGGGGAUCGCAAGACCUUGCGCUGAUUGAGCGGCCGAUGUCAGAUUUANCUAGUUGGUGAGGUAAAGGCUCACCAAGGCGACGAUCUGUAGCGGGUCUGAGAGGAUGAUCCGCCACACUGGAACUGAGACACGGUCCAGACUCCUACGGGAGGCAGCAGUGGGGAAUUUUGGACAAUGGGGGCGAACCCUGAUCCAGCCAUGCCGCGUGAGUGAAGAAGGCCUC